AUUCACUUUGCAGUAGUGCCAUCUACCUAGCAAAAUAUUCUGUGCCAAUAAAAUCAUCUGAUAUGGACUACUUCAAGAUAAUGGAGAACUAUUGCAGGGAUUCAGUUUAAGAACACUGUAACCAAUGUCUUCUGAAUUGGCAGAGCUUAGCUUCAUAAAUGAAUGUUUAUUAUCAAAGGGUAAUUUUUGCCAU